rnacentral:rRNA from 1 species
UCAAAAACAUGUCCUUUUGAAUUUAAUUUAAGGUNUGACCUGCCCACUGAAUCAUUGAAUGGCCGCAGUAUUUUAACUGUGCAAAGGUAGCAUAAUCAUUAGUCUUUUAAUUGAAGGCUUGUAUGAAUGGUUGGACAAGAUAUAUAUUGUUUCAUAUAAAAUUAUAGAAUUUUAUUUUUUAGUAAAAAAGCUAAAAUUUAAUUAAAAGACGAGAAGACCCUAUAGAUCUUUAUAAUUACCGAAUCUUAUUGAUCAAGAAUAAUUUCUAUUUGAUUUAUGUAAUUAUUUUAUUGGGGUGAUAGUAAGAUUGAUUUAACUCUUAUGAUUAAAAUACAUAAAUUAAUGAUUUAUUGAUCCAAUAUUAUUGAUUAAUAAAACAAGUUACCUUAGGGAUAACAGCGUAAUUUUUUUAGAGAGUUCAUAUCGAUAAAAAAGAUUGCGACCUCGAUGUUGGAUUAAGAGAUAAAUUUGGGCGUAGCCGUUCAAAUUUAAAGUCUGUUCGACUUUUUAAUUCUUACAUGAUCUGA